UAAAGUUCAAACAUAGAUUUGGAUACUUGACCAAGAAAAGGAGGCUAAUUUUCAGCCAUCAGAUUGCUUCUUAGCAGAUCACCAGAAAACUUCAACUGGAAAAGGGAAAACAAACAGAUCAUACAUUGUUAUUUGUUAGACACCUAUAUCUGUCAUAAAUGUGUCAUGUUUUGUUUUUAAUGCUGGGGUUACAAACAACCUCUAGAGCUCAAUAUCUUAUAUAAGUUAUAUUCAACUGGUGAGCUGUAGCCCAGCCUUACUUGUCUUCUUCAUUCUGGGAUUCUGGCUGAAGGAGCAAUCUCUGGGAAAAAGAACAAUGGACAAAUCAUGUGCCACCUUUUAAAACUUCUAUUCAGAAGUAGCUUAUAUUACUUCUACUCACAUUUCUUUGGCCAACAGUGUUAGUGGGCAGGGAAGUGGAGUCUUUCUGCAGGAGGCCCUGCAAGUCACCUGGUACCUUGAGUGGGUGGAUAAUCCCUCAGGGAGAGCAGUGAGUCAUUGGCAACAACAUCGUCUACCACAGCCUUCUUAAAAGGUUCGCUAGUGUGAACAAAUUGGAACUAUGGCAAAAACUUGGCUUUAAGAUUCUUUGUGUGUUAUUUUUCAUGAACUUUUGUAACUAGAAAUUGGUGCAUUGAGCUUUUGGAAUAUAUUGUAAUUCAAUUUGCUUAUUAAAUAAAUGCUCACUGU